ACUUCUCAUUCUCCUAUGUCGGCAUCCUCGCCGGUCAGAGGCCCGCCGGCCAUCGGCGUACUCCCCGUUGCCACGGCGCGCCCCUCCCAACUCUCAUCGCCACACCGUCCCGCAAGAUGGGAUCCGCCAUGUCAAGAAGGGGGAGAAGGAGCGAAUACAUUAAUCAGAUUAUAAUAUUGUCAAAUCGACGUGGGCUAUAACCAAACAUCAUUGUGAUUUUUUU